CAUGCAGUCGAGCGGACAGAUGGGAGCUUGCUCCCUGUAUGUUAGCGGCGGACGGNCGNUUUAACACGUGGGAUAACCUGCCUGUAAGACUGGGAUAACUCCGGGAAACCGGGGCUAAUACCGGAUGGUUGUCUGAACCGCAUGGUUCAGACAUAAAAGGUGGCUUCGGCUACCACUUACAGAUGGACCCGCGGCGCAUUAGCUAGUUGGUGAGGUAACGGCUCACCAAGGCGACGAUGCGUAGCCGACCUGAGAGGGUGAUCGGCCACACUGGGACUGAGACACGGCCCAGACUCCUACGGGAGGCAGCAGUAGGGAAUCUUCCGCAAUGGACGAAAGUCUGACGGAGCAACGCCGCGUGAGUGAUGAAGGUUUUCGGAUCGUAAAGCUCUGUUGUUAGGGAAGAACAAGUGCCGUUCAAAUAGGGCGGCACCUUGACGGUACCUAACCAGAAAGCCACGGCUAACUACGUGCCAGCAGCCGCGGUAAUACGUAGGUGGCAAGCGUUGUCCGGAAUUAUUGGGCGUAAAGGGCUCGCAGGCGGUUUCUUAAGUCUGAUGUGAAAGCCCCCGGCUCAACCGGGGAGGGUCAUUGGAAACUGGGGAACUUGAGUGCAGAAGAGGAGAGUGGAAUUCCACGUGUAGCGGUGAAAUGCGUAGAGAUGUGGAGGAACACCAGUGGCGAANGCGACUCUCUGGUCUGUAACUGACGCUGAGGAGCGAAAGCGUGGGGAGCGAACAGGAUUAGAUACCCUGGUAGUCCACGCCGUAAACGAUGAGUGCUAAGUGUUAGGGGGUUUCCGCCCCUUAGUGCUGCAGCUAACGCAUUAAGCACUCCGCCUGGGGAGUACGGUCGCAAGACUGAAACUUUAAGAAAUUGACGGA
rnacentral:rRNA from 1 species